rnacentral:misc_RNA from 1 species
UGCGGAUCAAUCGUGGUGAGCAUGAUGUUGGAUUCUAUGGAGGAAGAUGAGAUUUGGUAUUGGGAAUGGGGAUUUUGCCGUGCCAGCCCUCAACUCCAUGCACAUGCCAAACUAUGUUGUUCUUUGGUAUUUUGUUGUAGCAUAGAGAAAGCAAGAAGAGAUCGACGAUAUUAUUCGAUUGAUGAGAGUCAGGAGAGGAGCACUCAUGGUUAAGAGAAGCACCAAAAGGUAAAAAGCCGGGAGGAGUUUUGAUCAGAUACUUCACAAAAAAAAGC